rnacentral:tRNA from 3 species
GCGGGUAUGGUUCAGUGGUAGAAUUCCUCCUUGCCAAGGAGAAGAUGCGGGUUCGAUUCCCGCUACCCGCC